GAUGAACGCUGGCGGCGUGCCUAACACAUGCAAGUCGAGCGAUUCUCUUCAGAGAAGAGCGGCGGACGGGUGAGUAACGCGUGGGUAACCUGCCCUGUACACACGGAUAACAUACCGAAAGGUAUGCUAAUACGAGAUAAUAUGCUUUUAUCGCAUGGUAGAAGUAUCAAAGCUUUUGCGGUACAGGAUGGACCCGCGUCUGAUUAGCUAGUUGGUAAGGUAACGGCUUACCAAGGCGACGAUCAGUAGCCGACCUGAGAGGGUGAUCGGCCACAUUGGAACUGAGACACGGUCCAAACUCCUACGGGAGGCAGCAGUGGGGAAUAUUGGGCAAUGGGGGAAACCCUGACCCAGCAACGCCGCGUGAAGGAAGAAGGUUUUCGGAUUGUAAACUUCUGUCCUUGGUGAAGAGAAGAAGACGGUAGCCAAGGAGGAAGCCCCGGCUAACUACGUGCCAGCCGCCGCCGAAA
rnacentral:rRNA from 1 species